rnacentral:pre_miRNA from 1 species
CAUCUACUCCCUCUGUUCGGAAUUACUUGUCGCAGAAAUGAAUGUAUCUAGACGUAUUUUAGUUCUAGAUACAUCCAUUUUCGAGACAAGUAAUUCCGAACGGAGGGAGUAUCAA